UUCGAAUAUUUUAUGAUUUAAAUUUUUAAUUCAAUACAACUGAUUUACAAAUUCAAAAAAUGUAUUAAAGGUUUCAAAAUCUGAACUUCUUCAAAAAUGAUUACGAAGUAAAAAGUAUUUUAAUUUACGAUUUAUUGAUUUUAAAUUUACGUAAUAAAUUAAAAACAAAAAACAAAGAAGGUGGAGCAGACAAUGGGCUAGAGACAGCAGUAGAUGUGGCAUCAGCGAACACCAUUAAAGGGGUGGAUCACGUUCUGAGGUACCAAUUUGAGAAGAUCUCUGUUCACGGGUCGGUGUCAGCGCAGAGCAACCUCCGACUAAAUGAAAUACACCAUGAUGGACGUAGGAGCGGGCGCUGAAAAGGUUUAUCCGAUGGAUAUGGCGCCUAAGUUUCAGAAAACUGUCUCCAGAUGAGAAAAUUUUGGUUAGAGGGAAAGAUCGUUCUAUAACCAAGAAAAAUUUUAAAUAAGAAAUUUUUAAACAAAAAGGGGAAAAAAAGUAACCGGGAUACCCCAAGUGAAUCUUCACUUCGACAAAGCAGCUUCGGCUGUCUUGGCACUGAGGUUCACCAAACAAUAACUUGAGUUCGCACUAAUGGAGGAAAAUUGGGGGCAUAGAGGACAGAUUAAGGGUUGCCCAUUAGAGAUAUAGAGAAUUCAUAAUUUGGGACCUGGAUAAUUUCAUAUCGAAGUCUGCAUCGACACUGAAGUUACUAGUGUGAAAGUGAUAGAUUCAUCAGCAUAUUUUGCAGGUAACGAGGCAGCUGCAACAAGCAGAAAAGUAAGUCCUCUCGUGGAAUGCGAAAACAAUGCGAACGUUAGAGGUACAGCAAUAUCAACAUAAAAAUUUAUUACGAUGGUAUAUUAACGGUAAACUCACUGACGCAAGAAACUGGUUCAUGGUUAUAUACAAUAUCAAGUAUCAGCCCGAUUCUCCCAGGAGCGAAGUAAGAUACAAAAAGAAAUGAUGGUCUAUUAUGAUGAUGGUAUCGAUAAUGCAUAAUGUAAAUUUCAAAUAAAUGUAAAUCUUGUAGGCGACAUCGAUAAUUUUUUAAUAUGAUCAUGAGAACUGUGCCCAGUUAAAAUAUAAGGGGGUUAAAAUAUAAAAAUAAAAAAAAUUGAUUAUGCCCAAAAAAACUCGGAAAUAACUCAAUUAAAAAAACAUUUGCAGAUUUGUAGAUAUCAGAUGGUAACCUCUAAUGCUUUUCUACUAUAUAAAUGUUUCACAGGGGAAACUCUAGGCAUUUUUACCAUCAUGUAAAGUUAAGGCUUCGGCAAUAAAAUUUAAUAUUUUAUGAUAAAAAUUUAAUAUUUUAUAAUUUUUUAUAAUAAUUGUAAAUUAUACAAUUUUUAAUAUUAAAAAUUUACAAAUUUUUAAAAAUAAUUCAGAAAUAAUUGUUUCAAUUAAAUUGAAUUUUUUCAAUUAUUUAAUAUUUUCAAUUAAAUUUAAGAUUUUAUAAACUUUGUAGUU